rnacentral:rRNA from 1 species
AGAAUUGAUCUGGUCAGGAUGAACGCUAGCGACAGGCUUAACACAUGCAAGUCGAGGGGCAUCACGGGAGUAGCAAUACAACUGGUGGCGACCGGCGCACGGGUGAGUAACGCGUAUGCAACCUACCUAUCAGAGGGGAAUAACCCGGCGAAAGUCGGACUAAUACCGCAUAAAACAGGGGCACCGCAUGGUGAUAUUUGUUAAAGAAAUUCGCUGAUAGAUGGGCAUGCGUUCCAUUAGGUAGUUGGUGAGGUAACGGCUCACCAAGCCGACGAUGGAUAGGGGAACUGAGAGGUUGGUCCCCCACACUGGUACUGAGACACGGACCAGACUCCUACGGGAGGCAGCAGUGAGGAAUAUUGGUCAAUGGGCGGGAGCCUGAACCAGCCAAGUCGCGUGAAGGAAAAGAAGGAUCUAUGGUUCGUAAACUUCUUUUGCAGGGGAAUAAAGUGCAGGACGUGUCCUGUUUUGUAUGUACCCUGAGAAUAAGGAUCGGCUAACUCCGUGCCAGCAGCUGC